CCUACGGGUGGCAGCAGUGGGGAAUAUUGCACAAUGGGGGAAACCCUGAUGCAGCGACGCCGCGUGAGUGAAGAAGUAAUUCGUUAUGUAAAGCUCUAUCAGCAGGGAAGAAAAUGACGGUACCUGAGUACUAAGCCCCGGCUAACUCCGUACCAGCAGCCGCGGUAAUACGUAGGGGGCAAGCGUUAUCCGGAUUUACUGGGUGUAAGGGGAGCGUAGACGGCAGUGCAAGUCUGGCGUGAAAGGCGGGGGCUCAACCCCCGGACUGCUAUGGAAACUGUACGGCUGGAGUGCAGGAGAGGUAAGUGGAAUUCCUAGUGUAGCGGUGAAAUGCGUAGAUAUUAGGAGGAACACCAGUGGCGAAGGCGGCUUACUGGACUGUAACUGACGUUGAGGCUCGAAAGCGUGGGGAGCAAACAGGAUUAGAUACCCGUGUAGUC
rnacentral:rRNA from 1 species